AUACUUACCUGGUGGGGGAAUAUCAUGAUCAAGAAGGUGGUUUCCCCCAGGGAGAGGUUCUUCCAUUGCACGCUUUGGUUGGGUUGACCCUGUGAUCUCCCCAAAUGUGGGAAACUCAAGUACAUAAUUUAUGGUGGUGGGGGACUGCAUUUGCACAGUUCCCUG